rnacentral:misc_RNA from 1 species
AUUUAUCACCUUUUCGAUGAAUGUUAUGAUGUCGUACGGUAGUAUCUUGAUUCUUUGAGGUGUAGAAUGAAACAACGAUUGAAAGGAAGGAAUUAAAAUACCCGUAUUUGCCAAGAACGGAGCGCUUUUAUUUCUUGGUUUUUGUGCGUGGCACUAUCUUGGAGUGACAUAUUACAACGCAGUGAGUGCUAAGGGUCAGGCUGAAACUACGGAGAGAGGGUGUCCCUGAGAGCGAAAUUGACAAACUGAGUGGAUACAGAAAAGUUAUGUACUCUAAUUCAAGUGGUGGAGAGGUGAAGAAAAUUCACUUUAGGACAGUGUUUGGAGGUGAAGUAAUGGACAAAACACAACAAAAUAAGAGUGAGGAAUUGUAGUUCAUCAUGUUCUUCUUUGAAAUAUACACAAUGGAUUCUGCUUAUUCUGAGAUACAGACUCUAAACAGAUGAUAAAAUUAUGUGCAUGAUAAUUCAUAAACUGGCGUGUGUUUUAUGUACAUGUAUAAUUUAAUGUUUGAGUGUUUUAAUUGUAUAUAUGCAUAUACUGGAAGAUGUUUCCAGAUAAAAUCCCAUGUGAAAUGAAAUAAAUGGUAACUUC